UUGCAUGUGAGUCAAUUUUGACAGUUACUCUGUGAAAGAAUGAAUGAAAACGAAAAAAAAAAACAAAUUGUCAUUAAAAUUCUUGUUGUCAUGGCCGGUCGGUGGAUUUUCAUAAUAAGUAACAACUUAUAAAGUUUAAAAACCAAUAUUAUGAGUUCCGCAACUCGGCCGUCGUACCGCCAGACGAAAUUACUUGUAGAAUAUCUAGAUAGUGACCCAGGAAUGGCCAGGGAUCUUCUUAAACCGACCUAGGGAAGAUAAAAUUAUGAAAAAAUAGCAUCAAUGGCCUCGACCUUUAAUGCGGGCGAAGGGUCUUGAAAAGAUGGACUCCGCUGAUAUGCCUAAAACUGAGGCAUUCCAUGGUAAAUGGCAGGAUCAUAACAUACUUAAUGUCGAGGUGCAGCAUCCUGAACCCAUCAUACCCAGGCCUGAACUAUCAAACCGCUCAGCUCAUCCUGUCAGCGUAGAUCCAGCCGCCGCAACCAAGUUGAUGUAGAAGUAGACAGAGUGAUGGUCAUAGAGGAAAAGCAGGUAGAGGCCUAACUGCUGACAGCAUGGGCUAAUGCCCUAAAGCCUAAAGGGGACCUUGCAGAAGCUGUCCGUGAUGGAGUCAAUAUCCUCAUAGAAAUUGUGCAAUAGUUAUCAAGAAAUAACAAAGUUAAGUGCAUCUAGUCCCAUAACCAUUGUCACUAGUUAUGGGUCCAGAUGCUGUUGUGCAGUAGUGGAUGAUGUGAUGAUUUAAGUAGAUUUUAUAUUAUUUUUCCUGUGACUAAAAUAUUAUUUCAUAUUAAUACCUAUCCUAUGUCGAAGUAUAUGAACAUUUUUGUUUUAAGAAAUGUUAAAUAAUAUUAUAGAAAGUGUUCCUAUGUUAAUAUGUUCCUUAUAUUAUUAAGUUUGCAAGUAUUUCAACAGUGGUGGUGAUAUUAUUAUUCUACAAAAGUAUGUCUGUAUGAUUAUUAUAAAGAUAAAGAAUUCUGAAAUUUACAUAAUGUUUUUAUUUUUAAAUCUUUUUCAUUAAGUAAUGAAAUAUUUACAAGAUACUAUAGUAUUUAGGCAUGUAGAUGUGCUGGAAGUGGUGGUUCAUCUCCAUAGUAAAUGGUGGAUCCUUCCACAAAACAGGCAUGUAGAUGUGCUGGAAGUGGUGGUUCAUCUCCAUAGUAAAUGGUGGAUCCUUCCACCAAACCGGGUGUUGUGGCUUAACGGGCUGCUCUAUUAUAUUCUCUGCGG